rnacentral:tRNA from 1 species
CCAGCUGUGGCCUACUGGUUAGUGUCUUGGAUUUGUAACCAGAGGGUUGCUGGUUCAAACCCCGACCAGUAGGA